rnacentral:rRNA from 1 species
GACCCUGCCUUCGGGCGGGGGCUCCGGGUGGACACUUCAAACUCUUGCGUAACUUUGCAGUCUGAGUAAACUUAAUUAAUAAAUUAAAACUUUUAACAACGGAUCUCUUGGUUCUGGCAUCGAUGAAGAACGCAGCGAAAUGCGAUAAGUAAUGUGAAUUGCAGAAUUCAGUGAAUCAUCGAAUCUUUGAACGCACAUUGCGCCCCCUGGUAUUCCGGGGGGCAUGCCUGUUCGAGCGUCAUUUCACCACUCAAGCCUCGCUUGGUAUUGGGCAACGCGGUCCGCCGCGUGCCUCAAAUCGUCCGGCUGGGUCUUCUGUCCCCUAAGCGUUGUGGAAACUAUUCGCUAAAGGGUGUUCGGGAGGCUACGCCGUAAAACAACCCCAUUUCUAAGGUUGACCUCGGAUCAGGUAGGGAUACCCGCUGAACUUAAGCAUAUCAAUAAGCGGAGGAAUCUUGCUGAAAAACUCGAGCCAUCCGGAAGAUCUGGCGGCCGCUCUCCCUAUAGUGAGUCGUAUUACGCCGGAUGGAUAUGGUGUUCAGGCACAAGUGUUAAAGCAGUUGAUUUUAUUCACUAUGAUGAAAAAAACAAUGAAUGGAACCUGCUCCAAGUUAAAAAUAGAGAUAAUACCGAAAACUCAUCGAGUAGUAAGAUUAGAGAUAAUACAACAAUAAAAAAAUGGUUUAGAACUUACUCACAGC